rnacentral:rRNA from 1 species
AAGAGACAGCAGUAGCCGCGGUAAUACAGAGGGUGCGAGCGUUAAUCGGAUUUACUGGGCGUAAAGCGUGCGUAGGCGGCUUCUUAAGUCGGAUGUGAAAUCCCUGAGCUUAACUUAGGAAUUGCAUUCGAUACUGGGAAGCUAGAGUAUGGGAGAGGAUGGUAGAAUUCCAGGUGUAGCGGUGAAAUGCGUAGAGAUCUGGAGGAAUACCGAUGGCGAAGGCAGCCAUCUGGCCUAAUACUGACGCUGAGGUACGAAAGCAUGGGGAGCAAACAGGAUUAGAUACCCCUGUAGUCCCUGUCUCUUAUAA